CCGGUAAACGGCGGCCGUAACUAUAACGGUCCUAAGGUAGCGAAAUUCCUUGUCGGGUAAGUUCCGACCUGCACGAAUGGCGUAAUGAUGGCCAGGCUGUCUCCACCCGAGACUCAGUGAAAUUGAACUCGCUGUGAAGAUGCAGUGUACCCGCGGCAAGACGGAAAGACCCCGUGAACCUUUACUAUAGCUUGACACUGAACAUUGAGCCUUGAUGUGUAGGAUAGGUGGGAGGCUUGGAAGUGUGGACGCCAGUCUGCAUGGAGCCGACCUUGAAAUACCACCCUUUAAUGUUUGAUGUUCUAACGUUGACCCGUAAUCCGGGUUGCGGACAGUGUCUGGUGGGUAGUUUGACUGGGGCGGUCUCCUCCUAAAGAGUAACGGAGGAGCACGAAGGUUGGCUAAUCCUGGUCGGACAUCAGGAGGUUAGUGCAAUGGCAUAAGCCAGCUUGACUGCGAGCGUGACGGCGCGAGCAGGUGCGAAAGCAGGUCAUAGUGAUCCGGUGGUUCUGAAUGGAAGGGCCAUCGCUCAACGGAUAAAAGGUACUCCGGGGAUAACAGGCUGAUACCGCCCAAGAGUUCAUAUCGACGGCGGUGUUUGGCACCUCGAUGUCGGCUCAUCACAUCCUGGGGCUGAAGUAGGUCCCAAGGGUAUGGCUGUUCGCCAUUUAAAGUGGUACGCGAGCUGGGUUUAGAACGUCGUGAGACAGUUCGGUCCCUAUCUGCCGUGGGCGCUGGAGAACUGAGGGGGGCUGCUCCUAGUACGAGAGGACCGGAGUGGACGCAUCACUGGUGUUCGGGUUGUCAUGCCAAUGGCACUGCCCGGUAGCUAAAUGCGGAAGAGAUA
rnacentral:rRNA from 1 species